rnacentral:lncRNA from 1 species
CCAACAUACACAGCAAGGAUCUAAAUGGCUAAGGACCAAGGGAACGUGCAGUCAAACUAAGUAGCCUGCUGCGAAUAACCAACACACCACAGGUCAAAGGAUUAGUUACACCACUACAGCAUCAAGAAAACUUCUGAUGAGUGCGUAGACAUCGAAGUGGUUUCUCGUGUUGGUCAUACUGCAAGUUAUUCUUUAACAACCACCUGCACUCUCAUCUCAAUAUCUCUACACCAC